UUUGGUCUCCCAGUGUUGUGGUGAGUUUGCUCUCCCAGUGUUGUGGUGAGUUUGUUCUCCCAGUGUUGGGGUGAGUUUGGUCUCCCAGUGUUGUGGUGAGUUUGGUGGGAGUGGUGAGUCCAGCUCCACUAAGGAGCAGGUCAGGGUUAGUAUAGUCUGGUCCUCUUGCUCUAUGAAGCCGGCUGGCGUGUGGCUGUAGAGCAGCUCCUGCUAGGAGUGGAGCAGAGCCACACAUCCUGAUUCACUGCUCAGUACUUCCUGUUUACCAGUGGAACCAAAGAGUUCUGGUGAUGUUGUCCCCUACAGUACAUCCCUGCUGGGGGUCUGACCAUCGCUGCUGACAGGAAACCCACCAGGGCCAAGUUGUGCGCUGCGUUGGGGAUGAAUGUGCUGGUGGCUCUCUCGACCGUCGCUGGAAGUCCUCUUCAUGGCUUUGCUAUUGUAAUAUUUGGGUUUGAAGAGUGUGUAACUCUGUGUCACAGUGAAUUUGUCAUGCUGGCAGCGUCCAUCUUGCUGUUCAUCAUCUCCAUAAUCGUUGUUGCAUCUGCAGUGUCUGCUCUGUGUUCCUCUAGAAAGGUAAGGCAGACAUCUGCAGUUUCUGCUCUGUGUUCCUCUAGAAAGGCUGCUCUGGGUUCCUCUAGAAAGGCUGCUCUGUGUUCCUCUAGAGAGGCUGCUCUGUGUUCCUCUAGAAAGUCA